rnacentral:tRNA from 1 species
UCCCUGGUGGCUCAGAUGGUAAAGCAUCUGCCCGCAAUGCAGGAGACCCGGGUUCGAUCCCUGGGUUGGGAA